UACAGAGGUCUCAAGCGUUGUUCGGAUUCAUUGGGCGUAAAGGGUGCGUAGGCGGCGCGGUAAGUCGGGUGUGAAAUCUCGGGGCUUAACUCCGAAACUGCAUUCGAUACUGCCGUGCUUGAGGACUGGAGAGGAGACUGGAAUUUACGGUGUAGCGGUGAAAUGCGUAGAUAUCAGGAGGAACACCAGCGGCGAAGGCGGCGCUCUGGGCCGGAACUGACGCUGAGGUGCGAAAGCGUGGGGAGCAAACAGG
rnacentral:rRNA from 1 species